rnacentral:rRNA from 1 species
GUGCAAGCGUUAAUCGGAAUCACUGGGCGUAAAGCGCUCGUAGGUGGCUUUGUAAGUCAGGUGUGAAAGCCCACGGCUCAACCGUGGAAUUGCACUUGAUACUGCAUUGCUUGAGUUCGGGAGAGGGUAGUGGAAUUCCAGGUGUAGGAGUGAAAUCCGUAGGGAUCUGGAGGAACACCAGUGGCGAAGGCGGCUUACUGGUCCAUUACUGACACUGAGGAGCG